CCUACGGGUGGCAGCAGUGAGGAAUAUUGGUCAAGGGGCGCGAGCCUGAACCAGCCAAGUAGCGUGAAGGAUGACGGCCCUACGGGUUGUAAACUUCUGUUAUAAAGGAAUAAAGUGAGGCACGUGUGCCUUUUUGUAUGUACGUUAUGAAUAAGGAUCGGCUAACUCAGUGCCAGCAGCCGCGGUAAGACGGAGGAUCCGAGCGUUGUCCGGAGUUAUGUGGUUGAAAGGGAGCGUAGAUGGGUUGUUAAGUCAGUUGUGAUAGUUUGCGGCUCAACCGUAAAAUUGCAAUUGAUACUGGCAGUCUUGAGUACAGUUGAGGUAGGCGUCAUUCGUGGUGUAGCCGUUAUAUGCUUAGAUAUCACGA
rnacentral:rRNA from 1 species